GAGAUGCUUCACUUGUAGGACAUCUGCCUUGCAUGCAGAAGGUCUCAGGUUCAAUCCCUGGCAUCUCCA